AGUGAACGCUGGCGGUAGGCCUAACACAUGCAAGUCGAACGGCAGCACAGUAAGAGCUUGCUCUUACGGGUGGCGAGUGGCGGACGGGUGAGGAAUACAUCGGAAUCUACUUUUUCGUGGGGGAUAACGUAGGGAAACUUACGCUAAUACCGCAUACGACCUACGGGUGAAAGCAGGGGAUCUUCGGACCUUGCGCGAUUGAAUGAGCCGAUGUCGGAUUAGCUAGUUGGCGGGGUAAAGGCCCACCAAGGCGACGCUCCGUAGCUGGUCUGGGAGGAUGAUCAGCCACACUGGAACGGAGACACGGUCCAGACUCCGACGGGAGGCAGCAGUGGGGAAUAUGGGACAAUGGGCGCAAGCCUGAUCCAGGCAUACCGCGUGGGUGAAGAAGGCCGGCGGGUUGUAAAGCCCUUUUGUUGGGAAAGAAAAGCAGCAGGUUAAUACCCCGCUGUUCUGACGGUACCCAAAGAAUAAGCACCGGCUAACUUCG
rnacentral:rRNA from 1 species